rnacentral:rRNA from 1 species
UAGUCCACGCCGUAAACGAUGUCUAUUAGGAGUCUGUGCCCUUGAGGCGUGGGUUCCAAAGCUAACGCAUUAAAUAGACCGCCUGGGGAGUACGGCCGCAAGGUUAAAACUCAAAUGAAUUGACGGGGCCCGCACAAGCGGUGGAGCAUGUGGUUUAAUUCGAUGCAACGCGAAGAACCUUACCAUCUCUUGACAUCCACGGAAUUUCGGGGAGACCUGAAAGUGCCUUCGGGAACCGUGAGACAGGUGCUGCAUGGCUGUCGUCAGCUCGUGUUGUGAAAUGUUGGGUUAAGUCCCGCAACGAGCGCAACCCUUGUCCUUAGUUGCCAGCACGUAAUGGUGGGAACUCUAGGGAGACUGCCGGUGAUAAACCGGAGGAAGGUGGGGACGACGUCAAGUCAUCAUGGCCCUUACGAGAUGGGGCUACACACGUGCUACAAUGGUCGGUACAAAGGGGUUGCCAGCUAGCGAUAGUGAGCUAAUCCCAUAAAGCCGGUCGUAGUCCGGAUUGGAGUCUGCAAC